rnacentral:rRNA from 1 species
AUUGAACGCUGGCGGCAGGCCUAACACAUGCAAGUCGAGCGAGCGGCGGACGGGUGAGUAAUGUAUGUGGAUCUGCCCGAUAGAGGGGGAUAACUACUAGAAACGGUGGCUAAUACCGCAUACUAUCGGAUGAACCCCGAAGGGAUUAGCUAGUAGGUGGGGUAAAGGCACACCUAGGCGACGAUCUCGAGCUGGUCUGAGAGGAUGAACAGCCACACUGGGACUGAGACACGGCCCAGACUCCUACGGGAGGCAGCAGUGGGGAAUAUUGCACAAUGGGCGCAAGCCUGAUGCAGACAUGCCGCGUGUAUGAAGAAGGCCUUAGGGGUGUAAAGUACUGUCAGCGGGGAGGCGUUACCCGCAGAAGAAGCACCGGCUAACUCCGUGCCAGCAGCCGCGGUAAUUC